rnacentral:rRNA from 1 species
CAGUCGCCGCGGUAAUACAGAGGGUGCGAGCGUUAAUCGGAUUUACUGGGCGUAAAGCGUGCGUAGGCGGCUUCUUAAGUCGGAUGUGAAAUCCCUGAGCUUAACUUAGGAAUUGCAUUCGAUACUGGGAAGCUAGAGUAUGGGAGAGGAUGGUAGAAUUCCAGGUGUAGCGGUGAAAUGCGUAGAGAUCUGGAGGAAUACCGAUGGCGAAGGCAGCCAUCUGGCCUAAUACUGACGCUGAGGUACGAAAGCAUGGGAGCAAACAGGAUUAGAUACCCGCGUAGUCCCUGUCUCUUAUACA